CACGUAGAAGCCGCCCAGUACAUAUUUGUGGAAUGAAUAUAUGAGUGGAUGAAUGCACCAACGUACUAACUAUUCUAUUCAAGAGUGCCCGGCACUGAAAUCUAUAAAAGAUGGAUCAAGCAGUGAAUAUUAUUAACCUUGGAUUUCCUGAAGGCACAUUAUUUUAGCAGCUUCUGAACCGUGAGCCCCCCAAGCCUUAUCCCUUCAGACCACAAGCCACUGGCCAAGGGAAGAAAACAUAAUUUAUAUGUAGAACCUACAUAAUACAAUACAAUAUUGUAUUAUGCAUGUUUACAAACAGGAUUUACAGUGUUAGAAGUAAAUAAACCAGGGGAGGGGGAUGAAGUUUGAAAUUUUAAAUAGAGUGAGCCAGGUGGGGCUCACUGAGCAGAUGGCAUUUGAGCAAAGACUCAACGAAAGUAAGGAAGAAGGCCAAGCUUAGGUGGGAGAAGAGCAGUCCAGCCAGGACUCAGGUGGCAAGUUGCCCAGAAGGUCCAAGGAACAGUGAGAAGGGUGAUGUGUUCAGAGCAGAAAAAGUAAGGAGAGCGUAAAAUUGUAUAGGACUUUGUUGACUGUAACGACUUUUUGUUGUUGUUAAUCCUCACCUGAAGAUAUUUUUCCAUUGAUUUUUGUAGAGAGAGUGGAAGGGAGGGGGAAAGACAAAGAAACAUGGAUUGGCUGCUUCCAGCAUGCGCCCCCAACAGGGCCAAGGAGUGAGCCUGCAACCCAGGCAGAGAUUCAUCAGUCUGUUCCACGUUUCCAUGCCUCAUGGAAUCUGUUCUGGCUCCACCAUUUCUCGCGUUAACAAUGCAUACUUUGAAGCAGUAGUAGUCACCAAUACCAUACCUCAGGAGGAUAAGACGAAGCAUUGCUCCAAAAUACAAGUGAUCGACAUCUCCAUGAUUCUUGCAGAAGCCAUCAGGAGAACUCACAAUGGGGAAUCUGUUUCCUACCUCUUCAGCCAUGUCCCUUUAUAAUAGAAUAACUCCUGGGGCUUUUAAAAAAUAAAGUGAACCCCUUCCCUUGUGGGGGGAAAAAAAA